GACAGAGGCCUCGAGCGUUAGGCGGAAUCACUGGGCUUAAAGGGCGCGUAGGCGGGCUGUCAAGUCUGGGGUGAAAUCCCGCGGCUCAACCGUGGAACUGCCUUAGAUACUGACGGCCUCGAGGGAGGUAGGGGCGAGCGGAACUGUGAGUGGAGCGGUGAAAUGCGUUGAUAUUCACAGGAACUCCGGUGGCGAAGGCGGCUCGCUGGACCUCUUCUGACGCUGAGGCGGCGAAAGCUAGGGGAGCAAACGGGG
rnacentral:rRNA from 1 species